CACGUAGGGCGCGAGCGUUGUCCGGAAUUAUUGGGCGUAAAGAGCUCGUAGGCGGCCUGUUGCGUCCGCUGUGAAAGCCCGGGGCUUAACCCCGGGCGUGCAGUGGAUACGGGCUGGCUGGAGGCAGGCAGGGGGAGAACGGAAUUCCUGGUGUAGCGGUGAAAUGCGCAGAUAUCAGGAGGAACACCCGUGGCUAAGGCGGUUCUCUAGUACGGUACUGACGCUGAGACGCGAAAGCGUGGGGAGCGAACAGG
rnacentral:rRNA from 1 species